rnacentral:rRNA from 1 species
UACCUGCAGCUCGAGUGGUAACCGCUAUUAUUGGGCCUAAAGCGUCCGUAGCCGGUUUGGUAAAUAUCUGGGUAAAUCGUGAGGCUUAACUUCACGAAUUUCGGAUAGACUACCAGACUUGGGAUCGGGGGAGGUCAGAGGUACUCCAGGGGUAGCGGUGAAAUGUUGUAAUCCUUGGAGGACCACCGGUAGCGAAGGCGUCUGACUAGAACGAGUCCGACGGUGAGGGACGAAGCCCUGGGGCGCAAACCGGGAUUAGAUACCCGGGUAGUCCAGGGUGUAAACGAUGUGGGCUUUGUAUUGGAGGUCCCACGUGGGCGUCCAGUGCAGAAGAGAAGUUGUUAAGCCCACCGCCUGGGAAGUACGGUCGCAAGGCUGAACUUAAGGAAUUGGCGGGGAGCACAGCAACGGGAGGAGCGUGCGGUUU